GCUGGAGCCGGAGCCGGAGCGGGCUGUCUGUGGGCCGGGAAAUGGUGCACUGCCUCAGUUCUGUGAAGAGCUUCCACGCCAUUCCGAAGUCAGUGUACAUUAUCGAAGACUAAGCAAAGGACUGAAGACAUCAACUUUUUCCUGCUGACACAUCUCACCCCUCGUGAAGAGAUUUCUAAUGUGCUGAAGAUUCCUAGACUUUUUGGGGGAGCAAAAUCUCUACCUCAUAUUUUAUGAAUACUUUUAGCCAUGGCUGUGGAACUUUGUUUACUGCUGUUGUUGCUUUGUGGAAGUACUGUUUCAGAGGUGCAGCCUUUACACAAACCGCCUCCUGGAACUUUGGAUUUUGGGUUUGUGCCUGCGAAAACAUAUGAUACAAAUGCAUAUCAUGAACCUGGACCAAUAGGAAUUUUGUUUAGACUAGUCCAUUCUUUCCUUUAUUUAGUGCAACCAAAUUCUUUUCCACAAGAUCUCAUCAAAAAGCUAACACAGCAGAAGUUUGGAAAUGUGCAGGGUGAUUAUCAAAAGCCAGAAAAUGUUGUCCUGACUCUUCAGGCAAUCUACUAUGAGAUCGGCUUUAUAGUGUCUGCUGCUUUGGGAUUGCUAUUUGUUCUGUUACUGCCUCUUGUGGGACUGUGCUUCUGUAUGUGUCGUUGCUGUGACAACUGUGGUGGGGAAAUGCACCAACGACAGAAGAAAAAUGCUGACUGUCGGAGAGGCUGCUUUGCAGCGUUUCUUUUUGUUGCUUCUUUAAUUAUCAGUAUUGGUGUCCUUUGUGCUUAUGCUGCUAACCAGCACUUAACAAGUCAAGUCCGGGGAGCAAAGAACCUGGUGCACAGUAAUUUUAAAGACCUGAGAAUUUUCCUCAAUGACACUCCAGGGCAAAUUGACUACUUGGUGAGCCAAUAUAACACUGCCAAGAACAAAGCACUCUCCGACCUUAAUAAUGUUGGGCCAUUGCUUGGCAGCAGAGUUCAGGAGCGGUUCGCGAAAGAAGUGCGUCCUGCACUUGAUGCAGCUCUAACAAUGGCAGGAGCAAUCAGAGAAACAAAGGAGGCAUUGGAAAAUGUAAGCGUCUCUGUGGAGGUUUUGCAGGAAGGUACUGAAAGGCUGCAUUCUAACCUGACCGAUGUUAAAAUACACCUGAGCAACACACUCAGUGACUCUGCAUGCUCUGCUGCUCAAGCUGCUUCAACUUGCAACAUUAUCAGAAAUUCAUUAAAUCAACUGAAUAUCAAUGCUAACUUCAGUGGGUUGCCAGGUGUGAGCACACAGCUUGCCAAAGUCAAUGACGUCCUUAAAAUAGACCUUUCCAGUUUGGUUCAAAAGGGCUAUGCAGCCUUUAAUGAUACUCCAGAUUUAGUGCUGAACCAAACCAGGAACAUCUUAUCAGAUAUCAAAAAUUUGUUGGACCUCAUUGGUUCAAAUAUCACUAGUUUCACUCAAAUGCUUCCUGUUCAGAAGAUUCUAGCUGAUUUAACAAUAUAUCUUACUCAGAGUGAGGCAUAUGUUCAAGAUUAUUUCCCAUUAGUGGAACAGUAUGAUUUCUACAGAUGGUUGGGUUGUCUAAUUCUCUGCUGCAUGGUGAUUCUGAUCCUGGUCUUUUACUACCUUGGACUAUUAUGUGGUACUUGUGGUUAUGAUAAACAUGCAUCUCCAACAACCAGAGGCUGUAUCUCAAACACCGGCGGCAAUUUCCUUAUGGCUGGAGUAGGAUUCAGUUUCCUUUUCUCCUGGGUGCUGAUGAUGACAGUGGUCAUCACCUUCGUUACAGGUGGAAAUGUAGAAAAGCUGGUCUGCGAACCCUUUGAAGACAGGACUUUGUUCAAGGUUUUGGAUACUCCCUACUUACUGAAUCGACAUUGGAGAAACUACCUUUCUGCCAUCGUGCUUAAAAAUCCAGAUAUUAAUUUGACCUUUGAAAAAGUUUACAGUGACUGCAAAGAAAACAAAGGAAUUUAUACCACACUUCACCUAGAAAAUCUCUUCAAUAUCAAUGAGUUUCUAAACAUUAGUAUGUAUACAGAAGAUGUAUCACUGAAAAUUGAACAUAUUAAUGUAAAUCUUAGCAAUAUAGUUUUGCUGGAUGAAAUCGGAAAGCGGAAUCUUCUGGAUUUCAGUUCUUCGGGAAUAGAUGGAAUAAACUUUGCAGCAUAUUUGACAGAGAUCAAUAAAAGUGUUACCAAAGUGGAUCUUUUAUCAUUUGCUAAUGACUUGGAAGCAAGAGCGGACCAGUUGCCCAAAGGAGCACUGGAAAAUGCAUUAAAAGGACAUGCAAACAGUAUUCGAAUGAUUCAUAACCAACAAGUUGUUCCACUGGAGCAAGCUAUGAAAUAUGUAAAAGCUAGGAGCACUUUAAAUCAGAGCAUUAGAUUACUGCAGAGGACAUCAUCUGAAUUUAUGGUAAAAGUAAGAAAUGUGAUUAGUGCUGUUGAUGCUGCUCAGUUUCUCAUAAGCAACGAUGCAUCACUGGUUAUCAUCCAGGAAACCAAAAAGUACAUGGAUAUGAUAAUAGGCUACUUUGAGCAAUAUGUUGAGUGGGUCAAGGAGUCGAUUACCAUGGAGGUAGCAGCAUGCAAGCCUAUUGCCAAUGUGAUAGACACUGCAGUAGAUAUAUUUUUAUGCAGCUAUGUAAUUGAUUCUGUGAAUUCCUUCUGGUUUGGUUUGGGAGGCUGUUCGAUAUUUUUAAUUCCUGCCAUAAUUUGUGCUGUAAAACUAUCCAAAUACUAUCGUAGAAUGGAUACAGAGGAUGUGUAUGAUGAUUCCUCUGUCUCAGGGACUUGGCAUUUUACUUUAUGAUAACUGUUUUUACUUAUUUUCAUUUUGACUAUUGUUUCCUAUUUAUUUUAGCUGUUGUUCAGUAAACCUGUGCACUCCGUUUUUUCAGAUCAUUUUAUUUCACAUUGGUCAAUUUUACAUUGUACAUUCACAAAUGAAUAGAGCAGCAGCAAGACAUGUACUGCUAAGACAAAUGUUCACUUGCUAGUAUGUUUAAGUUGAUUGCUUCUCCUUUUUUUAUAUUUUUUAGUGUUGAAACUAUACCCAUGAAAAAGUAAGAUACUUUUACUGAUAUUUGUUAAAAUUAUUUUACUAAGGAGUGAGGGUUUAUAUUUAGAAUGUAAUUCUUUACUAUAAAAACUAAUGUUUUUUUGGUUUAAUUACAUUUUAUAAUGUUAAGGUACAACUGAACACAAAUCUCCAUUAAAUUGAAAAUUGAAGCAUGCUAAAAUAAGAUUUCAUAGAAUUAUUUGAUAUUAUAUAUAUCAGUGUGGUUGAAAAUUAAAGAAUAUUGUCUACUGAACAGAUCUAACUUAUUUUUACAUACAAUACCAUCAUCCAUUUACAUGUCUUUUGUAGCCAUUUUGUACAUAUUGCAUCUUAUAGUUAACAUAGUCUUUUUUGGUGUAUUUAUUUUGUUACAGUAUGGAAAAUGGUAAUAAUGGUUAUCAUAAAGAGCAUUUAUAUGGUAUACACAAUCCUGUUAUGACAAGCUCUGUGGAACAGUGGUAA